rnacentral:rRNA from 1 species
UACGUAGGUGGCAAGCGUUGUCCGGAAUUAUUGGGCGUAAAGCGCGCGCAGGCGGUCCUUUAAGUCUGAUGUGAAAGCCCACGGCUCAACCGUGGAGGGUCAUUGGAAACUGGGGGACUUGAGUACAGAAGAGAAGAGUGGAAUUCCACGUGUAGCGGUGAAAUGCGUAGAGAUGUGGAGGAACACCAGUGGCGAAGGCGACUCUUUGGUCUGUAACUGACGCUGAGGCGCGAAAGCGCGGGGAGCAAACAGG